GAUGAACGCUGGCGGCGUGCCUAAUACAUGCAAGUCGAGCGAACAGACGAGGAGCUUGCUCCUCUGACGUUAGCGGCGGACGGGUGAGUAACACGUGGAUAACCUACCUAUAAGACUGGGAUAACUUCGGGAAACCGGAGCUAAUACCGGAUAAUAUAUUGAACCGCAUGGUUCAAUAGUGAAAGACGGUUUUGCUGUCACUUAUAGAUGGAUCCGCGCCGCAUUAGCUAGUUGGUAAGGUAACGGCUUACCAAGGCGACGAUGCGUAGCCGACCUGAGAGGGUGAUCGGCCACACUGGAACUGAGACACGGUCCAGACUCCUACGGGAGGCAGCAGUAGGGAAUCUUCCGCAAUGGGCGAAAGCCUGAUGGAGCAACGCCGCGUGAGUGAUGUAGGUCUUCGGAUCGUAAAACUCUGUUAUUAGGGAAGAACAAAUGUGUAAGUAACUAUGCACGUCUUGACGGUACCUAAUCAGAAAGCCACGGCUAACUACGUG
rnacentral:rRNA from 1 species